ACAAAUACAUGUCAGAUGUAUCGGUCAUAAGACUUUAAUUCGGUAUUUAAAAAUAACUCAGUAAAAUAUAAAACCGGAGGGUUUUGUGGUGGUUGUUGUUAGCUUGAUUUAAAAGCUUUUUUUAAAAAUUAUUUACCAACUAUUUUUGAGUGCGAUAUCAAUGAUUUACACCAAAUAAAUGUAAGAAAAAUUAAGAUGUAUUUUCUUUUCUGAUUACAUGCCAAACUGUUCUGUAAACGUUUUAAUAUUUUUGAUUGAAAUAAUAAAAAUAAGGACGGAUCCCACAAAAACCCAAGAAGAAGGAUAAGCUGACGUCAUCGUAUGCGACACUUACACUCCGGUGAGUAGAAACCUGCAUCUGUCAAAAUGUUUUUGUACUCUAAAACCAAAAAUAACUCCAAAGUGUGAUGUUAUAAAGUUACUGAUGGUAGUUUUAGGACUUAAUGGCAGUAAAAUUGUGAGGCGAAUAGUUGAAGACACGUUUGUAACAUUUUUUUUGCCGGAGGUGGAAGCUAGCUAAAUUAGCCUCUCGGAGGCUAAUUGUACCUGUACACUCGACCUGUGCUUAAUACGUUUAAUUAGCCAUGACAGAGUUACAUAAUAGUGUUUAUAGUUAUGCUUGUUGUUGCCACUUUGUACAAUUGGAGGGUUGCUAAAAACAUCAGUGCCCCUAGGUUGUGAUGAUCUUUAAAGUUUAGUUUAUAAACCCUGUCUGAAUACAUUCUGAAUACAUGAAGAGAAGUAAAGAGCUGAGAACCUGAUCUUUGAACAGACAGAGACCAUAGGCCAGGAGCAGCCUGGGAUGCUUACUGAGGACUAUCCAAUGAUGAUACCAGAGAACCAGGAAGAGACUGUGAUAGUGAUGAUCUGGUUCCUGUUUCUCCUCCUGUUGUCCCAUCCUCUCAGUCUUUUCAGAAGAAGAAAAGACCCAGAAGUACCUCUCCAGCUGCCUCUCCCCCAGCUCUGUCAUCUGUCUCCCCCCAUAGAUCAGCCACAUCUGCAUUCAUGUCACCUGCUGACCAUACCGUCUCCUUAAGUCAGGGUGGCCGAUAAGAAGAGAAAGCAUAAGUUUUGUUUUCUUUACAUUCAUGCAUCCAAUAUGUCAACCUCUUUAGCACGAUUCGUACCUUUGGAGAUCCCAGUUAGAAUUUGUGAUUGUCUAUCAGAGUGUUUGAGGAUCAAACCAGGACAGGCAGUCACUGUGGUAAUGCUCAAUGGUAUGAAUAACAAUUCUUUGAAUGACUCAAAACCAAAAUAUAAAAAACUAUAUUAUCAAAAUUUAAAUAACUAUCUACUUUGGCUGUGUGAGUACUUUGACGUACAUAUCCCAGAAGGGCCUUCUGACUCCAUUCUUGAGUGGUUAUGUUCUUCAACAUUUUAGUGUAAUUGGUUAAACACACUUGAAUCAAAUGGCUGAGGUACCACCUCAUUCAUUCAGCAUUCAGAUCAAACGAAGUCCUGGUAACAUCAAAAUUAAUUGAGUGAGAUGUUUUGUGCCAGAGAAACACCUAAAACUUGAAAGACACCUACUCUUAAUGCCUGGUAUUUGGACACCUAUGUCCUAUUUUAUGUUUUCUUUUUUAAUCUCUCAUUUUAAAUCGGACAGGUAAGAUCUCGGCAAACAGCUUCCUGAAAAGAUUUUUGAGUGGGAAGCCAUAAAAUAUGAGUUGGAUAAAAUAUUAAGGAAGGAUCCCUUCAAGUGUCAAGCUUGUACCUCAGAUGUGCUUUGAGUUUCAGUGGAUGGAACACUGUGGAUAAAACACUUCCCAUUUGGAAACACCAUUUAAAGAAUGCAGCAAGAUUGGAGUAACAGGCUAUAUUUCAGGACCUUUUCAUAGCCAAGGAAAAUUUGUGGACUGUAUACACAAAUCAACCAAAAAUAUUUUGUGGUGGGCAAUGGUCAGCAGCCAGGGAGAUCUCUCUCAGAUCCAGAAGCAAACUGGAUGAGGAGGCUUGGAGCUAGCGCAUGCAAGUACUGGCCAUAUCUUGAAAACUAACAAAAAGCUGUCCUGAGCUCCAACACCUGCAUAAAAUGAAGCAAUUUCUCUCAAUUUUCCAUGGCAAAGCCCAUGAAUACACAUAUGGACACAAAGCUUGUGCCAAGGCUCAUCGCAAGAUCAGAAAGGAGAAAACAUCUUAGCAUUGGCUUUAGAAGAUGUUGGUCACUUGAAGACUGAUACAGACACAGAAGUUCUGUCUUUGGAAGAGAUCCUGUCUGGUGACACAACAUUGCCAUGGCAGCAAUCACACAGUGACUCUGUCAGACAAAAACAAGGGCAAUCAAUGACAUCAUGAUAGUAAAGACACUGGAAGAGGAAAAGAGGACUCUGGUUGAUGGACCAUCAUUGGAAAUCUCUGUCAUCCUAUCAAAAGGAGUUUCCCGCCUGUUAUCGGGAGGUAAAUUUAAAAGUUUGUCCUGUGCCCUAACUGACGAAGGUCCAAGAGGUCUCCAGAGCAUCAUCCUCAGAGAGCUGCAGCACCAAUGGAUGAAGCUGCAGGCAACAGAGUAUUAUCUACAGCAGGGGAGCCCAAAGUGGGUCCUGGAGGGCCGACAUCCUGCAUGUUUUAGUUCUCUCCCUUGUUUAACACACCUGCAUCAA